AACGAACGCUGGCGGCAGGCCUAACACAUGCAAGUCGAGCGGGGGAGCAAUCCCUAGCGGCGGACGGGUGAGUAACGCGUGGGAACGUACCCUUUGCUUCGGAAUAGCCCCGGGAAACUGGGAGUAAUACCGGAUGUGCCCUACGGGGGAAAGAAUUUCGGCAAAGGAUCGGCCCGCGUUGGAUUAGGUAGUUGGUGGGGUAAUGGCCUACCAAGCCGACGAUCCAUAGCUGGUUUGAGAGGAUGAUCAGCCACACUGGGACUGAGACACGGCCCAGACUCCUACGGGAGGCAGCAGUGGGGAAUCUUAGACAAUGGGCGCAAGCCUGAUCUAGCCAUGCCGCGUGAGCGAUGAAGGCCUUAGGGUUGUAAAGCUCUUUCGUGGGGGGAAGAUAAUGACGGUACCCCCAAGAAGAAGCCCCCGGCUAACUCCGUGCCAGCAGCCGCGGUAAU
rnacentral:rRNA from 1 species